ACAAAGAUAUUAAGAGGCUGCACACAGUACGUAGUAUGAACUAGUGAAUACAAAUAAUUUAAAUUAAGAUCGUGACAAGAACUUACAGGGACGAAACUGUCAUUAUUGAAAACCUCCACUGCUGUUUGUGUCUGAACUGGAGGCACAGUCACUCGGUUCUGCUGAAAAAGGACAAAGAUAAGAAAUGUAUCAGAACGUCGCUGUGUGCCGUCAGCAUUUCACCGGAGGACAAUGAGGGGAAUAUGGAGCCCAAGAUGAUGGGUAGUGAUUCAUCAACACAAUAACGUGUUUUCAUACCAAUAACAUUCCACUGAUAUUCCCAUAGAGAACUGGAGAUGAACAGCAAUCUGCCUCGCAGCCACCAGAGAAAAGGUCUACCUCUCUAGGUCUCUCUCACCUGGCGAUGGACAAGGGUGGUUGGACAAGGUGAUGUCAUCAACUGAUACUUAACUAUGCCAGGCAGGUGAAGAGCCAUGUUCCAGUACCAACACCAAUGGAAUGGUCCAUCCCUGUGAGCAAUCUCCA